rnacentral:rRNA from 1 species
UACGUAUGGGGCAAGCGUUAUCCGGAUUUACUGGGUGUAAAGGGAGCGUAGGUGGUUUGGCAAGUCAGAUGUGAAAGCCCGGGGCUCAACCCCGGUAGUGCAUUUGAAACUGCCAAACCUAGAGUGCAGGAGAGGUAAGUGGAAUUCCUAGUGUAGCGGUGAAAAUGCGUAGAUAUUAGGAGGAACACCAGUGGCGAAGGCGACUUACUGGACUGUAACUGACACUGAGGCUCGAAAGCGUGGGGAGCAAACAGG